AUUGAACGCUGGCGGCAUGCCUUACACAUGCAAGUCGAACGGUAACAGGUCUUCGGAUGCUGACGAGUGGCGAACGGGUGAGUAAUACAUCGGAACGUGCCCGAUCGUGUGGGAUAACGAGGCGAAAGCUUUGCUAAUACCGCAUACGAUCUACGGAUGAAAGCGGGGGAUCUUCGGACCUCGCGCGGACGGAGCGGCCGAUGGCAGAUUAGGUAGUUGGUGGGAUAAAAGCUUACCAAGCCGACGAUCUGUAGCUGGUCUGAGAGGAUGAUCAGCCACACUGGGACUGAGACACGGCCCAGACUCCUACGGGAGGCAGCAGUGGGGAAUUUUGGACAAUGGGCGAAAGCCUGAUCCAGCCAUGCCGCGUGCAGGAUGAAGGCCUUUGGGUUGUAAACUGCUUUUGUACGGAACGAAAAGCCUCUUUCUAAUAAAGAGGGGUCAUGACGGUACCGUAAGAAUAAGCACCGGCUAACUACGUG
rnacentral:rRNA from 1 species